rnacentral:lncRNA from 1 species
ACUGCACUUCCAAAAACAUACUCGGGAUGCCCUGCACGUCCGAAUUUAAAUAUAAGGAAACCUAAUACAGCUUCUACCGUCUUACGUCGAUGUCGGAGGUAUUCCCCCUGUUCCGUAGAGACGCGAUGCAGACAGUUAAUGUGACGUCACGAAUCGAUACACCAUCCGGGUCACCAGCGCGAGGUGGAAGACUCCAAGUUUCCGUUAUUGCAGGAACAAUCCGUCGCCGGCGGAAGAUUUCUGUUUGGAUAUCGCAUAGAAGGAAAAGAAAAGAGGGAUUAUCCGUAGGAAGACGUUGGCGUAACUAACUGAAAUGUGUGUCUGACUCACUUCUGUACGUCCUCCUCCACCCACGACUCAGGAAUGCCCGAAGUUCUCACGUGCUGCAUCAGGUGCUUGUGACUGGGCUGUCGAAGUCAGGUACCUGAAGUAGUGCGCGGAGAAAUUCGGGUCUGUGACCACCACUCCGCUCUUCCAGAUUCAAGUCGACGUCCGGGGGUGGUGAGUAUAGCUACUUUCUUCUCCUUUCUUUCUAGUGUGUAGAUAUUUUGUGAUUCAAAAAAUGUAUUAUUUUUGAUGCAAUUUCCAGAAUAUUUUUUUUUUGCUAGUCGCAAUUAGACUCGAAUUCAUUACGUGUGACUAGUAGAUGACACUCGACGUUAGUAUGCGAGUUAAAAUCCAAUUUGUGUAUAGGUGAUGGUUCUUAAGGGACUUCUUACAGAUUUACAUUGCUGUUUCACCUCUGUUCGAUAUUGGAAUUACCAUCAGAAGAAUUUAUACGAUUUUGAUUCGAUUCUUUCUGAGAAUGCGGCCAAGUUUCGUGUUGAACUUGUAGUUUUUUUUUUUAACGCUACAAGUUCACAGAAUCAGUUAUUUCCAGCGUCAUUUUUAAGAAAGGACGGUAGUUAAAAAGAAGCAAAAAAAAAAAAGUAGAAAGAGUAGUGCGGAUUAUAUACGCAUCGACUGGGUUAUUCAUUUUCACAGACAACCGCCGAUAUACACAAACAGAAAGUCUGACGGGACAUAAAUAAACGUUAGAGGUGUGGCAUUGCCUGUCUGGGUCUCACAACCCGAGUCUAACCUGAAUACUGACUGUACUUGUACCGUCCUCUGACUCAUACACCCUGACACACGUCAUUGCAAGUGCCCACGCGUUUGUUGCGUGUUUCCGGGACACUUUGGGUUGCGUGUCGACUCGCGACGCCAGCCAGUCACCGUCGGGACAGAAGCGGUUCGUGUCUUUGUGCUUUCCUUCUUAACCAGGUGUUCCGUUUUAAGAGAUGUUCAGCGGUGAGUCUUUUAUCCGCGUAUCUGGCAGAAAUCUUAAGUAAUUGGGGGUUAUUAAACCGAUAAAUGAUCUUGGGAUUAUCUCUGGUUUUUCCCCCAAAAGUAUAUUUCAAAUACUUUUUUUCUUUGUCUUCAGGCUGAUGACACACUGUCCCAAUUUUCCGACACGGGAUGUUGCAAUUGUUCGAAGUGUUGCGUAUAUCGGAGAAGACGUGAACCCGACGAAUAAUGAGGCAAUUUAAAAACUAUAAAUCAUGACAUUAAUUCAUUCAUAAUUUGGUUAAUUAUUUUUAUGGGAAUGUUCGUCGUUUUUUUACCUAUUUUUGGAAUUUUCGCCGCCUUUUUUUCUGCUAGAUUGUUUUUUGUAUAUAUAUAUUUUGGAUUUUUUUAAUCCCCAAAACAUACGAAUAUAUUUUUAAAAUAAAAAAAAAAUAUAUAUGAUGCGGUGACAGAUAUGAAUAAAAUGUAACCAAAAUGACUUCUUUAUCGGCGUAAUAUCUAAAAGUUCUCAGACGUGGUAUCGUCUAUUAACCGGAAAUCCGGAUGUCAGGCAUUAUCUACUUUUAGACAAUAGAUCACAGUUUCUUAUAAGAAACUGCUCAGAGCUAUUCUGGAAUUGUGGCCUAUAUAGCGAGUCAGAUCCUGUCUUGUGUACACUGUCCAGACCAGACAUUCCCAACAGUCUAGCUGCAGUUCUAUUACUGCGGUGUCAUUGACCGCUCGUGUGUCGGGUUACCGUACUCGCACCGAAUAUCUGGAGUUGUUGCUGCCGCUGCAGUAACAUCUUACAGUCUGAAUGACAAUCCGUUCGCAUUUAACACGCCAUAAACGUGGAGUGUGCGCGAAAUAUUCGUUCCUUUUUUUUCUCUCUUAUGCCUUUAACUGCGGUGUUUUUUUUUCUAGUUUGAGGUUCGAACGGACGUGGCAGUUUUGGUAAAUCGUACAGAACAGGUGUUCUGUAGUACAGAAAUGCAGCGGUUCCCCCCUCGUCAUUUUCAAGAUCACCGACCACUCUGUUAUGAUUGGUUUUAAAUAGGCACGUGCUAAAGCCGGAUGUCGGAGGGUACCACUUCCGGUCGGUUACUCCAUUAAAGGCAGCUGCGUUGAAAUGACGUCAGCCAACACGUGUGGACUCGUGUUAGAACAAUUUAGAAGAAGGGGAGAGGGGAAAAAAUCGGGGACAUCUCUGAAGGCUAUACGAAAUCUUCACCUGAUUGCACACAACAGGUGUUCGCGUGGCACCACCAAUUUCUCGUCCACCUCCCCAGAAAAGAGGGGUGUAAAUUAUCCUGGAAAAUAUCCCCAGUGCCGGUUAGGUUGCGUCUGUGGCUUUCACCUCUUCCAAUAAAUAUACCUGUUUGAUUACCUCCCCCGUCUGUCUGGGAAGUUUCCUUCUCGCUCUCCUACCUGUCUGUCCCACCGAUGAAUGGACAGAUUAGAUAGCUUUUUAUAACUCUAAUAACUUAUUCUAUUUAUAGCUCAUCGUUUACUAGGCGGGAGAGGCGCUUCUAGACCGUUUAAUCUCUCUUAAUUACUAAGCAGUGGGGGAAUUUUGGGCAUUUUUAAACAUAGACGAAACACGUAACUGUGCAAUUUAGUGUCUGCGUUCGCUACGAUUGUCACCUUCGCCCGCCACCAGUUGAUUGUACUUCAUUAGGUGCUCUGGUGUGUGGGAUCCAGGCAUCUCAUGGAGUGCAAAUGAUAGGUGGUUGAUUUACAACGUUGGAUUAUCGAUCAAAUUUGCAUCUUACUCGUUAGUACCGCAUUACCCGCUGUCUAAUGCAUGAUACAAUAGGGUAGAAGUAGAUUUCGGUCCAUGCAAAAACAUUUCGACUGCUCUUAAUCAUUUUGGCACCGAUUUUUUUUUUUUAAGUUUAAAAAGGAAAAAAAUGUAUUCGGUUUCUUUUGAUUCCAAAGAGCUGCGCCGUGUUUUAGGAUGAUUAAAUAAUAGUCUCGAAAUAAAUUUAGUUAGAAACGACUUAUCUCUCUAGGACAUUAAUGAAAUUAUGGGAUUAAUCGUCUUAAGGACUGCUCUGAGAUUUAACUAACACAGUUCGUACGAAAAUAUAUUAAAACAUUUUGGAACAUUUUAUAAUAUAACAAGAUUAAAUGAUAUUCUGUUAUGUGUAUACAUAUUUUUUCCGUUCUAAUGUUGCUCUGGCUGAUGUCAGUUCAGUAGUAUUUGUUGCAGUUUUUGUUCAAUAUUCUGAGUGACUAUAUCUUCCAGGCUCAUUCCGGUAAUUUUGUACACCGAUACCUUUAUCUCUCCUCUUCCUUUGCUAUUUAAAAAGAAAACUUCUAUCGCUCCGACCAACGUCUGUUCUACCUUUCAGAAAAAUAUCCAAAAAUGGAAAGGAAAUUAUUAGUGCGCUUAAUGCCGAUAGAUAAAGAAAUGAUUUUUGUUAAAGUGGAUUUUGAGUAACGAUACGAGAUGAUGUGAAGUUGGUCUUUCAUUCAUUUUGCUGCGUCCUUGACUUCAUCCCACAAUAUUAGAGAAUUUUAAUUUAGCCUCCUCCUACGUGGGAUUUUUAAACAAAUCUCCUUAUGUCAUUUAAACAUUUCGCGUUCGUGUUCCACAGAUAAUAAACAUAAAUAGGUAGGUGUAACUUCUUUAUUUUUAUAGUAGCAAAAAGAUUUUUUUUUAUUGAUGUAAAUUGCCGUAACAAGGUCAAAACCGAUCAUGUGACCAAAACAUCAAUAUUGGUUAACUAUUUUUAUACGCGACGAUGUCAUAAGGUUACUGAAUCUGUAAUCCCGAGUAUUUUGUUGUGUAUAUAUAACGUCAUGGUUGAUUUACACGUAUGGAAGGGGGAACAUGACUAGUUCGUUGGCACAUGAGUUUCAACAUUCGCAGAAAGAGGUUGUGCAACAUUGAGUCAUUCCUCGAAAUUUUCUCGUGAAAAUACUGAUGGCUUAAAAAACAUACUUUAAGCAUCUUUUGUGACCUUCUAGAGGAGAAAUUCUAAUUAUGUCCUUUAUUCUAUACAUUCCUUGCUGUUUAGAAAGUUUGCAGAUUAAGAGCGAAACGUUUGAUGGACUUAAAACUCUACAAAAUCGCGAAUAAAAUGUUUUUUGGGCAUAGACAGGAUAUUCCAGUCUAAAAGCGGCUCGAUAGUGUUUUAUACCUCUUUAAGUUCACGCUUUAGAGAGAUUAUUAUAGUUGAAGGAUCAUGCGGUACUUGUGAGAAGGCGCCAUACUAUAAAGUUUUUAUUGCUGAGCAGCGCAAACUCGUUCGAUGUUUAUUUUAAGACGAAGAUGUAUUAAUUUCCAGCUAAUUGUAUUAAGCAAUAAAAUAUUGCAGGCGUUUUUACAAAUAAAUAUUCCGAUGUCCACCGCAAUUCCUGCGAACCUAUAAAUGCCACAUUGACUAAUGAUAACUCUUAGAAGACUUAAAUAAUCGGAAUGCUCGUCAUAAAUUGCACUUUUUAAACUCUUGACGUUUAACUGGAAACAAGUCGUCGGUGAUGUAGCACCUGCUAAGCAGUUAAGAAACAAAUAGCUUGUUCACCAAUGUAAAUAGAUGGUUUUGGUAAAAACAGCAUUUCUUACUCAUAUUUUACCGAUAAAAACUUUUAAUUUAUUAUAUUUACGUUACCAUAAAUCACGCCAUUGCUGCCGGAAUUCGAAAUUUUUAAGGCGUUAAGUUAGUUAAAAAUUGAAACGCUAAAAGCAAAUUGUGUAUCCUGUUGCAAAAGAAUUUUUUUCUGUGGGUCCCGUCUCCAGAGCGAAACGUGUUCUUUAAUUAGGAUUCUAAAAUAGGCUAAAGUGAGCGGCAGUUUAUGAUGCGAAGAAUUCAAUUUAUGUGAGGUGUGAAAUAUCGUCCCACAAAUUUUCGGAAGCGGGUCGCGAUGUGGGUGCUGAGGAAAAGCAUUCCUGCCAAAUUCUUUAGACUACCUACAAACUGUUCUUUCUGCAGUUCGCCCACAUAAAUAAUGCGGGCGAUUUACAUAACGAGUCAUCGCUGGUAUCAUCCGAAGGUCGUACAGUAGGCUCCACUUAAUACAAUAAAUUGCAACUCAAUUUGUCAUUCGCAUGUUGAGAAUACGAUCCUCUGUCAUGAGAUUCCGCUCCUACUCCAUUCGCUUGUUUUAAAGGCGGUUCGUCUUCAUUAAUAUUAAUAUGGCAUUUAGUAAUUAAUAAGUUGUUUAUGAACGAUUUAAACGCUCUUGUAAUGCUUUUAUGAUCACUCAUCUCUCCGAUUCUCUUUCGAAUGUUUUCGAAGAAUUUUAAUUUAAUUAGAAAUCGGGAUGUUUCUAUUUAAAAAAAAAAAAUUAAGAUUAUCUUCUCUUUUAAGGCUUUUAAGAAGUCAUCCAACGAAUGGCCGUCUCAUCAGUUCCUCUCCAUUUUGGUAGAAGGUAUUCCAUUUUAAAAGGCGAGAACGCUAUGCCAAGAAGUCUUCUCUUUAAUCAUUUGGAUGGAGCUUUAAAGACCCAUUAACAUUGAAGGACACUUAUUAACCUCUCGUAGAAAUCGUGUCUCUGGUUAAAAGUAAAGCGCUGUUUAUGUCUCCACGCAGUGUAAAGAUCUCGUUCAGAGGUUCCAUCUUCAGACUUCAAUCUCAAAAUAGAAAGUUGCUCAGAUUUUGGCCAAUUGCGAGAUUGUUGCAAAUUUUUGAGUAAUAGUUACGUUUUAUGUUAGUCAUACAAUGAAAUUAGGAAAGUUGUAAAUAUAUAUCAUUUUUGAUAAAAUUGCGAAUAUUUAAAAAUUAGUUGCAAGAAACGAAUGUUAGAUAUAUUCACAAUAAAACUGUUUUUCUAAGGCCUAAUUCAUAUCUACUGUAUCGUUAUUCUCUAUGGCAAUUUCCAGAAUGAUUGAGAAAGUGAAUAAAUAAGGAACUCUUCUACUUUGUUUGCUCCACCUCUCCAAUCUAGCUUAGUGACUUCUUUCUAUAAUAUCCCUGCCCUGAUCUCUAACCCAAGAUAUUACUGCGACGGAAGUAGAAAAACGUGAGAUAGGAAAAGUGAUGAAGUGCAAAAGGUUUUUCCAAGAUUCGAUUCAUGAGUUCAGAAGACUAUCUCUUAGCCAACCUAACUAAGCAAGGAUAGACAAGAAAAUUACACGUUUUGGGUCCUACUGUCGUAUAGACCUUGAACACAACAGGAAGUUCCGGUUUUUCUGUCAGACUUUUGGAUAUCCGGUUGUUUCGUUUGAUAUGUUGCAUCGUAUUGGAAACCCGUAUCCAGCUCAAUAGGGGAUCGCACAAAAGGUCAAGAUCCUCCUGUCUACCUCGCUCGAGCUUAUUCCAGUCACCUACUGAGAUGCCGUAAAAAUACUUAAAUCCUUUUUACCCAACCUCACUAACUGCGUAGCUUUAUUAGUCCUUGAUUUAUCCUUGAGGGUGCGUCAAAACAUGUUACAGACUCCUAGAUAUUCAAAACUGCAAACAUGUCUUCCGAAAACAGUAGCUUUUCUAAUUUAGGAAAUUCCAAUUAACCCAGAUUAAUGGAGGCCAAAAUUUCUCUCGUUUGGCUUUCCAUUAUCGUACAUUUUAAUGGCGUUUAAUCGUAAAACGAAUACUUACAAAAAUCGAACACCAUUCUCCCUUUAAGGCAUCUUAUAAAAAUUCAAAAAUUGGCAUGAAAUCUUUUUUCUAUCCCUUUUUAACAUGCUGAACUGGUCGCAACAAUUUCGUAUUUAAAGACAGUUUAAAUAAAUUCUCUUUGAACAAUACACAAAAUUAUAUUCGGACCUUCCACAACGCUGCUUCCCGUUCCCAUUAAUUUUUCUUAUCCAAAAAAAUGUUAUAUAUGUAAAAAUCCAAAAUGCGAUAUGCAAAACAGUGACCAAAAAUUGGUUUAUAUUAACUACACCCCCUAUUUAAUGUUUUUUUUGCGCGGGUUCUGCAUACAAAUAAAUUCGUGCAUGGCAUUAAUUUGGUUUGCGCGACCCAUACCAAUAGAAAUUCUGGAAAGAAAGAAACACAAAUUUCUUUGUAUGACGAUAAUGUACUCAUCUCUUUGCCAUCUGGAAAGUUUCCAGUUUCCAACGAAAUCUCUCCAUUCACUUGUAAAAGUAAAGGACGAUGCCACCUUGUUAUCGAUCCUUUGCCAUUUCACCCAAGAAUUUAAUUUACGCAUUUUGAAUAAAUAUACGUUUACACUCCAUUUGUCAUGAUAAAAGGCCUAUCUGUUGAAUAGCAAUACUAAAAGAUUUCUGUCUGUUGAGCAAUAAUUAUUGUUGG